GCGUUGUCCGGAAUUAUUGGGCGUAAAGCGCGCGCAGGCGGAUUGGUCAGUCUGUCUUAAAAGUUCGGGGCUUAACCCCGUGAUGGGAUGGAAACUGCCAAUCUAGAGUAUCGGAGAGGAAAGUGGAAUUCCUAGUGUAGCGGUGAAAUGCGUAGAUAUUAGGAAGAACACCAGUGGCGAAGGCGACUUUCUGGACGAAAACUGACGCUGAGGCGCGAAAGCCAGG
rnacentral:rRNA from 1 species